UUUCCCUCCUGUUAGAACUCAAAGCA
rnacentral:piRNA from 1 species